GACCUCGGAUCAGGUAGGAAUACCCGCUGAACUUAAGCAUAUCAAUAA
rnacentral:rRNA from 14 species